GUUUCACAGGCUGUACAGGAAGCAUGGCUGGAGAGGGCUCAGGAAACUUACAAUCAUAGAGGAAGGUGAAGGGGAAGCAGGUACAUCUUCACAUGGCUGGCGCGAGAGAGGAGAGAGUUAAGUGGGAAGUGCUACACAGUUUCAAACAACCAGAUCUCAUGAGAACUCACUCACUAUCACAAGAACAGCAAGGGGGAAGUCUGCCUCCAUGAUCCAGUCACCUCCCACCAGGCGCCUCCUCCAACCUUGGGGAUUACAAUUCAAUGAGAUUUGGAUGAGGACACAGAGCCAAUCCAUAUCAGUGCAGAACCAAGAUUUCUCACAUGUGCAGUUCAAAAUAGGGUUGUGCUCCUAUAAGAAUCUAAUGCUGCUGCUAAUCUGACAGGAGGCAGAGCUCAGACUGUAAUGUUCACUCACUCGCCACUCACCUCCUGCUGUGCUGCCCAGUUCCUAACAGGCCACCAACCAGUACCGGUCCAUGGCCUGGGAAUUGAGGAGCCCUACAAUAGUACACAGGACAGCCCUGCUCAACACAGAAUUAUCCAGCUCUAAUUGUCAAUGGUCCUGUAGUUGAAAAGCCUAAUGUAGAGACAGAAGCACUGGUCUGAGGGAUAAGAGACAGAUAUCUUUGUCUCUGCUUCUUAGAGGUCAAUCAGAAAAAGAAAGAAAAAGUCCUUUGAAUUCUCAGAAUGAAUGCCUUAUACAUAUCCUGACAUUUAAAAAAAUGAUGUUAAUAUUUGUAAUGUUGUUAACAACAGGGUUAAUGGCAUGCAUAGACCUUUAAAGCAAAAGAAAGAAACCUGGAAGGAAGGGAUUAAGGGAAAAAAAUUUUUUUAUAUUAAUGACCAGGAUGGAGAGAAGGAAAAAGCUGGAGGUAAAGGAGUAAGAGAGGAAAAAGACAGGGAGAUUUGUAGUUACUUGUUUAUUUAACUACAUUUGUGAUUCUUUUUACCUUGUAAUAAACUUAGCAACUGUCAUUUUAUUCAUCUUUUUCUUGAACUUGGAGCUAUUGUAGGAAACAGCAUGCAGGGACAAUAAAUGGAAGAAAAAAAAAACAAGAAAAACUAAAUGGAAGAAAAAGACUCUCUGGAUACGUGACUGUGAGAGUCUUCAUAGUGGCAGCAGCAGGAAGGAUCAGCAAGCUGUUGCUUCUGCCCCCUUGUUUCUAGAGUUCCAUACUUAUUAGGAUACCUGGGCUGAGAUGCCAUGCUUUGAGAGCCAUGCUUGGUGUGUGGACCCAAUUUUAUUAAAGGAUCCUGCGGCUUCCUUCCUUAUUUAUGCUUGCUAACUUGCUAAGUGUCUCCUGGCAAAUCACUUAACCUGCCUGAAGUGAGAAUAUGCUUCACUUUAUUUGCUUUCUGUAAUUCAAUGAGAAUAGUGAGAUGAAGUGAGAGCUCUAAUUUCAGAGCUAUAUGCCAUUUUGUAGAUGUCAUACUUAACAUCAUCAUUCAUUAAUAACAUGUUCAAGCACUGAAAUGGAAAUGGGGGCUAGUGCUUAUUACAAACCAUUAAGUACUCUGCUUAGAUAUAAAAUCUUUUAUGUGAUCCACAGCAGUAGCUGCAAAUUUUCCAAGCAACAUCUUUUGCCAACACUAGCCUUCUAUGGUUGUUACUUGGAAUUUGGAUAGGUGUGAUUUUUCUUUUUCUUUUUGAGCAAUUUGUUCAUGAUUGCAGCAGUAAUCAUGAAAGUAGGUCAGAGCCCUCUUCGAGUUGGGUUCUUAUUCCCCCACCCCCACCAGAGAACAGCACUUAAAUAUUAAUAGCAUCACUGGGAAAACACGACAGCUAUUUCCCUGUUUUCUGCAGCUCAAUGAAGAGUUGUUCCGUGCAGACCCCAGUGCUCUUGCCUCAUGAAUGGACGUGAUUGUGGGGGCAUCAUCUCCUACUAAGGCAAAACGUGACACUGAGAACAAAGGCUGGUUUUUAGCCUGAUGUGAUGAGCUCACCACAGUGCCCAUGUGGGGACUUUGAAGCUCGUCCAGGUGCCAGUUUUCUGUGUAUAUGACAUUCUUGAGGGGGCGGGGGUUGGAGACUGGGCAGCAGGCUUUUAAACAUUGAUCUGUAGUGUAUGAAUUACAAGGUCAGAUGGGGUGAGAUGUCAUAAUUUCUAUUUAGUCUGAAUUUCCCCCAGAGGAAACAUAUUUCCCUUACCUUUAAUAAGAGAAACCACAGUAUUUUCAAUGUAGCCAAACCAAUAAGGGCUUUUAAAAAGCAAAUUUAUAUAAAUUAUUUUCUUUAUGAUUAUGUCUGUGAACAGGAAAAUGCAUUUCUCCUUUUCAAUAUCUACCCCACCUUUUGUGAGGCUGUGCUAAUGCUCAGGAGAAAUACAGGCAGGAAAGUAUUCUUAGCAUAGCCGAUUGAAAUGGGAAAACCUGAAGCAAUCAGUUUUUGAUUCAUGCAACAUCUUAAAACUACUCUACUUCGAUUGCUUUUUUUUUUCAUUGAAUUGACUGAUUGGAUUGUUGUAGCAUGCUCUAGUCAUAGCUUAUUAUAUUGGCUCUGUGGUGGACAAAUCCAUCCAACUGUUUGUAGAUCAAAGUGAAAUUAAAUGACAUCAUGUUUUUUUUCCCCACUUACAUAGAGAAUUUCCAGUCACACUACAUACUGUGUGCACAAUAGUUAAUUUAGGCACUUACAAUACACCUAAUACAGUGUUGAGUGUUAUACAAAUUCAGAAUAAGAUAGUUUACAGUUGUGACUUAUUAGAAAAAAUUACAGAAUAAUCUAAGUCUGCUAUUGCUACGUAGUAGUAAAAAAGGACAGCUUUUGCUUCAGACUUGCAUUCGAAUCAGUGUUUAUUAGCUAAGUUACCUCAGGCAACUUAGUUGACCUCUGAGUUUCAUUUUCCUUACUUGCGAAAUGAGUAUAAUAAUACUUACUUUGAAGGCACGUAAUCAGGAUAAAAUAAGAUAUUGUAUAUAAAACACCCAGCACAUAGUGAACACUUAGUACGUAUAACCUACUAUUAUAAAGAUCUCAAAAUGUGUGUUGUAGUUUGAAGGCUCUCAAGAUUCAGGAAAGGUUGUUUUCUUCAUGGGUUGGAGGCACUUGGGAGUAAUUAUUCAUGAGAAUUAAAUGAGUCUCUUGAUGGCCUGUGAGAAAUGGUGAGCUCUACAUGGUUAAGAAAUCCACAAAGGAUGCUAGGACAUAGGAACCACAGGAACAUACUGAAAACAAGAAUUGGUACACAUAGAAAGUGUACACUGGGAAUAAAUUGUGGUAUUCAGAUUUUGAAUCCCAAGCUCACAUUUGUCACUUCUACAACUCUUUAAAACCCAAUUGUAAUCAGAUAUCUUCUUGGGGUUGGGCGUGGUCAUGACAGGAAGCAGCUUUGGAUUUCUCAGGAGCUGUGGAGAACUCUGGGAGCAGAAGUUGGAGGUUAACUGAAAGCCAAAGGAGAGAGCUGCCAUCUUCUCAAGGAGAUUCAGAGACACCAAAUUUUAAGGAAGCAGAAAUGGAGAUGUAAAUAGAUGCCUUACAGCAAGUGUUUAGAGGCAGAGACACAAUAAAACAGACUAAGAAUAAGCUGGAGGACAUCCUCAGUGCCUUAGGCACUAGCCAUCCUCUGAGGCUCACCUGCAUGGAGAGAGUUAACUGUAAUAGAUGGAUUGAGAGACUCCUUAAGAGAAUGUCUUCUUGGAGAGGACAUUCCAACAAGGGAAGAGAGAACUAAUGCAGUGUGAAGAAAUGUUCUAAAGUUCUUUGCUCAGAUCUACAGGAUGUGACCUAUUCCCCUUGGUUUUGACAAGUCUGUGGUGAUUACUGACAGAGGAAGGCAAAAGGGACUGCCAACAAAUCUCUUGAUUGAGCGGAAUGCGGUGAACUGGCAGCACUUUACAGAUGUGAGGAUGCAACCUGCAGAUACUGCUCAUCUCUGGUUGACCACAAGAUCAGUUUGCUGAUGAGGAAAGUAGGUGAACAGGCAGAAUACCGUUUUUUCGUGGAAUUGUGACUCAACCAGAUGGAUAGAAACCUGUUGUGUUGGAAAGUACACCAAUUACUUACAGCCAAAUACUUAAUGUGCAAAGGCAUUUAAAGAAAUCUGUGAACGCUAUCCGAAAAUAAUGCAAGGAUCUAUGGACAUUUGUCCUUUUAGAAAGUGAACUGGCUUUUUAGGCGAAGUCUUACAUCUUUAAAACUAGACCAAAUGAAUACCUUUUCAUAUACUAUUCAUUACCAAGUAAAAUUUGGCUUAUGUCUUAGAUCUGCCCCUACUCAAAAUUCAGUAACAGCAGUGGCAUAACACCAAUAAAGCUGUGAUAGUGGCCAAAAAUUCA